rnacentral:sRNA from 1 species
UCUAAAAUUAAAUAAUAAAUAUAUCAUUAACCUAUAAAUUAAAAGUUGAAGAGAUUACAUUAAUUAUUUAAUAGACACAUGGGAAAUGCUAAAGUGAUGAUGUGUCAAUCAUAUGGAGAGAGUUGGCCAACUUUCAUAUAUAUGAUUCUCUUAAAAAAAUAGAAAACCUAAAAAAGUAAACAAAUUUACAUAUACUAAUUUUUAUGUCUAUAUAUAU